rnacentral:rRNA from 1 species
CGAGAUUCCCCCAGUAGCGGCGAGCGAACGGGGAGCAGCCCAGAGCCUGAAUCAGUGUGUGUGUUAGUGGAAGCGUCUGGAAAGGCGCGCGAUACAGGGUGACAGCCCCGUACACAAAAAUGCACAUGCUGUGAGCUCGAUGAGUAGGGCGGGACACGUGGUAUCCUGUCUGAAUAUGGGGGGACCAUCCUCCAAGGCUAAAUACUCCUGACUGACCGAUAGUGAACCAGUACCGUGAGGGAAAGGCGAAAAGAACCCCGGCGAGGGGAGUGAAAAAGAACCUGAAACCGUGUACGUACAAGCAGUGGGAGCCUCUUUAUGGGGUGACUGCGUACCUUUUGUAUAAUGGGUCAGCGACUUAUAUUCUGUAGCAAGGUUAACCGAAUAGGGGAGCCGAAGGGAAACCGAGUCUUAACUGGGCGUUAAGUUGCAGGGUAUAGACCCG